UACGUAGGGGGCAAGCGUUGUCCGGAAUCAUUGGGCGUAAAGCGCGUGUAGGCGGCUCGAUAAGUCUGCUGUGAAAGUCCAGGGCUCAACCCUGGGAUGCCGGUGGAUACUGUCGAGCUCGAGUCCGGAAGAGGCGAGUGGAAUUCCUGGUGUAGCGGUGAAAUGCGCAGAUAUGUGGAGGAACACCAGUGGCGAAGGCGGCUUCCUGGUCUGCGACUGACGCUGUGGCGCGAAAGCUAGGGGAGCAAACGGG
rnacentral:rRNA from 1 species